GUGCUCGCUUGGGCAGCACAUAUACUAAAAUAGGAACAUACAGAGAUUAGCAUGGCCCCUGCGCAAGGAUGACACGCAAAUCUGUGAGGUGGUCCAUAUUUUU